CGUGCCAGGAUUCACAUAUUGAACCUGUGUUUUAGCGCCACUCAGUGGACAUUUCUAUUUGAAACUGCGGCGAAACGUGCAGCAAGCAUUUCAGGGCAGUCCUUUGUAAGACUUGGAAAUGUCUUUGUUGAACUUUGUUGAUCCUUUGAGACGCAAACAGCUCUGAAGUGGUCAAUUUCUUUGUUAUGAGGAAAUUCACGAGACCCACCUGCUGGAUUUGGUACAAAAAUAGAUGAGGAAAAAAUGCUACUGUUGUCAGAUGGUUGUUGCAGUGACACUUCUGUGGUUUUUCCAUCUACUCCAUGGAUCACGAUCAGAAGCAGAAGGAUUGCCAUAUCUCUGUGGAACAAAUUAGGAUACAGACAAAAAUUAAAUUAAAUACAAAAAGACAAAUAGAUUACAACAUAUUGAAUACACAAUAAACAAUGCAUUUAAUACAAAAUAUUUCAUUUUCUCAUUGUUAAAAUAGUUUAUAAA